UUGAAAAGAACUUUGAAGAGAGAGUUCAAGAGUACCUUUAACCGUUCAGGGGUAAACCUAAGAAACCCAAAAGAUCCCCCGGAGAGAUUCAUCGUCAGCGACGCUGGCUUCGCGUCGGUGGGCGAUGUCCCGCGGGGCCUCGCGGCUCGCGCGCGGACACGCUGCCGUGCGUUCGACGUCCGGCGUUCGUCGUCGUGCACUUCUCCCCUAGUAGAACGUCGCGACCCGCUGGGUGUCGGUCUACGGCCCGGGUGCGGUGUCUGACGCGUGGCCCGGUAAAACGGCACGCGUCAAACCCCCGGUCGCCCGGCCGGCUGCCCGGCGGUACACGCAAGGUAUCAGGCCGCACUUUACAAAACGCGCUCGCGCGCGCCCGCUCACCUCGGUGUGCGAGCGCGUGUGUGUCGCGCGACGUUGUGCGUCGAGGCCGUCGCAAGCGCGCGCCACGGUACACGGAGGUUUAACGGACCUAGCGCCGUCACCGGUCCUGGCCCGCUGUUGGUCGCACGGCUAACCUUCGACAGGCCUACGAACGUCCCCCCGCCCCUGGUUGGGGGGACCGAUACCGGUCGGCGACGCUACUGCUUUGGGUACUCUUAGGACCCGUCUUGAAACACGGACCAAGGAGUCUAACAUGUACGCGAGUCAUUGGGAAAUUGAGCGAGAUACCUAAAGGCGUAAUGAAAGUGAAGGUCGGCCCUGGUUGUCGACCGAGGGAGGAUGGGCCGCGUCGCGAUGCGGCUCCGCACUCCCGGGGCGUCUCGUUCUCAUCGCGAGAAGAGGCGCACCCAGAGCGUACACGUUGGGACCCGAAAGAUGGUGAACUAUGCCUGGUCAGGACGAAGUCAGGGGAAACCCUGAUGGAGGUCCGUAGCGAUUCUGACGUGCAAAUCGAUCGUCGGAACUGGGUAUAGGGGCGAAAGACUAAUCGAACCAUCUAGUAGCUGGUUCCCUCCGAAGUUUCCCUCAGGAUAGCUGGCACUCGGCCGUUCCGCACGGAACGCGCGCGAGUCUCAUCUGGUAAAGCGAAUGAUUAGAGGCCUUGGGGCCGAAACGACCUCAACCUAUUCUCAAACUUUAAAUGGGUGAGAUCUCUGGCUUUCUUGAACUAUGAAGCCACGAGCAUCUUAUUUACGGAUCAGAGUGCCAAGUGGGCCAUUUUUGGUAAGCAGAACUGGCGCUGUGGGAUGAACCAAACGCAGAGUUAAGGCGCCCAACUCGACGCUCAUGGGACACCAUGAAAGGCGUUGGUUGCUUAAGACAGCAGGACGGUGGCCAUGGAAGUCGGAAUCCGCUAAGGAGUGUGUAACAACUCACCUGCCGAAGCAACUAGCCCUGAAAAUGGAUGGCGCUGAAGCGUCGAGCCUAUACUCUGCCGUCAGCGGCAAGUGGGGCGGCCGCGUGUGGCGAGAGGGACUCGUCUCUUCCCGUCCACGCGCCGCCACGAAGCCCUGACGAGUAGGAGGGUCGCGGCGGUGUGCGCAGAAGGGUCU
rnacentral:rRNA from 1 species